CCUACGUGUGGCAGCAGUGGGGAAUAUUGCACAAUGGGCGAAAGCCUGAUGCAGCAACGCCGCGUGAGCGAUGAAGGCCUUCGGGUCGUAAAGCUCUGUCCUCAAGGAAGAUAAUGACGGUACUUGAGGAGGAAGCCCCGGCUAACUACGUGCCAGCCGCCGCGGUAAUACGUAGGGGGCUAGCGUGAUCCGGAAUUACUGGGCGUAAAGGGUGCGUAGGUGGUUUCUUAAGUUAGAGGUGAAAGGCUCCGGCUCAACCGUAGUAAGCCUUUGAAACUGGGAAACUUGAGUGGAGGAGAGGAUAGUGGAAGUCCUAGGGUAGCGGUGAAAUGCGUAGAUAUUAGGAGGAACCCCAGUUGCGAAGGCGGCUCUCUGGACUGUAACCGACACUGAGGCACGAAAGCGUGGGGAGCAAACAGGAUUAGAUACCCGGGUAGUC
rnacentral:rRNA from 1 species